CCUACGGGAGGCAGCAGUGGGGAAUAUUGGUCAAUGGACGAGAUCCUGAACCAGCCAAGUCGCGUGAAGGAUGACUGCCCUAUGGGUUGUAAACCUCUUUUAUAUGGGAAUAAAACGUUCCACGUGUGGGAGUUUGUAUGUACCAUAUGAAUAAGCAUCGGCUAACUCCGUGCCAGCAGCCGCGGUAAUACGGAGGAUCCGAGCGUUAUCCGGAUUUAUUGGGUUUAAAGGGUGCGUAGGUGGUUUGUUAAGUCAGUUGUGAAAGUUUGCGGCUCAACCGGAAAAUUGCAGUUGAAACUGGCAGACUUGAGUACGGUAGAGGUGGGCGGAAUUCGUGGUGUAGCGGUGAAAUGCAUAGAUAUCACGAAGAACUCCGAUUGCGAAGGCAGUGCACUGGACUGCAACUGACGCUGAGGCUCGAAAGUGUAGGUAUCAAACAGGAUUAGAUACCCCAGUAGUC
rnacentral:rRNA from 1 species